UCUCCUACCUUUAACUUCUAAUUAUCUCUGAUACUGCUAACUGGUUUCUUUUUUACCGGCAGAGUCUUCUGGCUCCUUAAAGCGUCAUUGGCACAUGUGAAAGAGAGCCAUGUGGAACAUUUUUGGGGAACAUAGUGUAGAUCCAGACUGUCUUCAGCUGCAAAUAAGCAACCAUUUGCAGGCACACUUUGUUUAUUUCUGAGAUAAAAGUCUUCCAGUGGGAUUUUCUUCUUGCUCAAGCAUCACAGGUUAGAUAAAUGCUAGAUGCAAAUGAAGAUUUCAGAAGAAAAGCCAUUUUAGAGACGUG